GGUGGUGUCCCUGUCCCUGUCCCUGUCCCUGUCCCUGUCCCUGUCCCUGUCCCUGUCCCUGUCCCUGUCCCUGUCCCUGUCCCGGUCCCGGUCCCGGUCCCUCUCCCUCUCCCUCUCCCUCUCCCUCUCCCUCUCCCUCUCCACGUCACUGCCCUUGGCCAUGUCCUGCCCGUGUCCCUGCCACUGCCCGCGACCCGGCCCUGCGCCCACCAACGCAGCUCGCCUCAUUCGAGAGGACAUAGUCUUGAGCUAUGAGGAGAGGACAUAGUCUUGCGAUGCAUCAAGGGAGGUUUAGGUUGGAUAUUAGGAGGAAUUUCUUCACAGAAGGGGUGAUUAGACGUUGGAAUGGGCUGCCCAGGGAGGUGCUGGAGUCACCGUCCCUGUAGGUGUUUAAGGAAAGGCUGGGCGUGGCACUUGGUGCCAUGGUCUAGUUGACAAGGUGGUGUUGGGUCUCAGCGAUCUCAGAGGUCUUUUCCAAUCUAAAUGAUCCUGUGCUUCCCAGCCGCUCUCCACUACAAUAUUAAGCUUGGGUGGCACAGCGGAGGUGUUCUCUCUUGUGUGUGGUGCUCCCAACCUUCUCCAGUAUCGCGCAGAGGAGAGGCUGUUCCGCCCCUCAGGAAAAGCUGUGGACCAGGAGAAGGUGUGGAGUGGCUGUUGUGUUAUUCUGUGGCAGGGCAAGCUAAAGACACAGCCAGAGCAGAGCACUCUUUUCCCUGCCUUUGAAGUAAGAUGGGGCUUUGCUGAAAAACCUUAGCUUGGAGGUGAUGAAACUGAGAAGCAGUAGAGUUGGCAUCAGUGGUGGUGCUGUCAUGAGUGACUGGAAAGGCGAGGACUGUUUCGAUUGAAUCUCCCACCUUACAAAGAUCUCCCCGGCAAACAAAGAUAAUCCCAUGCUGUGCUCUAGGAAAUGUCUCUUAUUGUGAAUUUAGAACCAGAAGCUCUUGGGUUCUUAUUUCCAGAACUGAACUGCUCUAGCAGUCAAGUGCUAAUCUUAAGGUGUAGAUGAUGCCAUGCUAACAGGAGUGGCAUUUGUUGUAUAAAUAUUAGCCCAUUUAUGUUAGUUCAAGCAAGGAAAUGCUUUAGCACUUAAGUGCUAAAGGUGGAAUGGUGCUGUAAUUACAGGAAUUACAUUAGUAAAAACAUUAGUCUAUCCACUAUCUAUCUUGUAGCAUGUUUGUUCUCCGAUGGUUUUAACAGAAAAUAAAAAGGCCCUCUUUGUGGAUCAAUGUUUACUCCUGCUAUAUCAGAAAGACAUCCUUCCAAAGAAACUAAGGUGUUGGUUUAAAAGCAUGUAUUGAUAUUCAGAUUAAAAGCUUAAAAUCCUUAUGCAAGGUAGAUGAUGUCUCUGAAAUCAAGAAAAAAUAGUUGGAAAUGCUCUCAGGCAAUUUGAAGGGCAGAUGGAAUGAAUACAAUGUAACUAAGAAAUUUAAAAAUUGCAGUUGUUUAUUUGGGCUUGACUAGAAUAUUAUACCACAUAUUGUCCUGCAAGUAACUGUUCAACAGAUGGUCCCUGGCUGUAUUCUUACCACGACAAACAAUGACAGAGCCAGGGCCUGGAUUUUAAUCAGCAGUGGUCUCCCAGGCAUGGAGAGAGAACCAGCACAGUGCUGUGGAAAGGAAGAAAAACAGUAUUAAUGAAGCAUUCUCUAGAAUCCACCUACAGUUGUCACUUACAAUAAAAUGAAUGAGAAAUUAGGGGAGAAAUUCCUUUAAUAUUGGAAUUGUUCCUCUGGUAAGCAUAGUGAUCAAACUCUCUUGACAUGUCAUUCUCAUGUAAAGAUGCAUCUAUUCUUUUUUUUUUUUUUUCUUGCAAAAUAUCCAGAGCAGAGUAACUCAGGCAGUCGUGCAGACUGUCUGCAGUUUUGCUCCUUUUUUUUUUUUUUUAAAGAUAGCAUUUUCAAUGUAGAUUAUGCUGCCUACAUAGAAAAGGCUCAUCACUAUUCUGUCAGCAGAGUUUCCAGACUUUAUUUCUCACAUAAAUCAUUCUUCUUUUGACACCAUUCUAGUAAGCGAGAACUUUAGAAUGUCUUUUAAACAGAUAAAACAUUUUGUUUAAGUUCUUUUCAAAUAUCUCUCAACACUAGAAAUAGGGCCAUGAAGCAAUCUCUAAUGGCUUUUAACCAUAAAUUCCUUAUUCACUGGUCUCCUGUUGGAGGUGCUAUUUUCCCUCUGUCACCAGGUUUGCAUAGUGGAAAAGAUGACCGUCAAAAGCUACCUGAGAUUAACAAAAUUAUCAUGUGGAUACUUUCCCUGUAAUGCAGCUUGGGUUGCAGACAUAUGCUCAUCUACAUUCAAAAUAAAAUAUAGGAAGUCCUGUGUAAGUCCCAUAGGUCAAAGAUGGGAAUAGAGGAGAUAUUUCUGGGAACCUUUUCUGUCUUUAGCAAAAGCUUUUUAUAAAUUCGUUAAUAAUUGGACUGAUUUGUAUGUCCAGCAGAACAGUGUGGCACAGCUGUUUAAAGAAGCCACAAAGAAAGAUCAGCAGAAAUGCUGAUAAAAACCCUGAGUGAUGAGAGUACCACUUGUUUUCUGACAUACUGCUGAAUGUUUAACUCGGACUUCCUUUCAUGUCCCACAAUACUGAGGAUUAGAGCUCUCUUCCCAAUUGCGUUGCAAGUAUUACAUCUGCUGAGUUUGCUCUUUAGACAAAUAAACUCACUCCACGUGCCAUCAGUGUUCAGAAUGAAGUGGUCUGUUUUGGCCAGAAGUGAGAGAUGAUGGUUGGUGGCCAGUUUCAGGUAAUACAAUGAUGUUAUGAGAAGCUGAACAGAUGUCAUCAAAGUAACAGGAUAUACUCAAGGCUUUGUUGGACGAUGGGAGGGUGUCUCUGACAAAGUUCAAAGAGGUAGAUUGAGGAAGGUACUGGCUAGGAAAGAGAAAGAGCUAGGGGCAGUGCAGAUGCUAGAACUCGGGCUUAAAACUUCUGCAGAGUUUCCAGGGUGCACACAUUGUAAGGUGAAAUAAAAUACGAUUUUAACUGUGACAGAGGUAGAGCAAAAUUGCAUAGAACACAGUUUUGAAAAAAUCUGAUCCUUAUGCUCCAUCUUUUGCAGCUCUAUCAAGCUGGCAUUUCAACUGGUGUAAAAGCUGUGAAAAAUGACCACUAGAGGUCAUUCAUUGAAUAAGAAAUAAUUCAGGCUUUCAGUUGGCUGGUUUGCUAACUUGGGGUUUAUUUGUUUUGUUCUUUGCCAUUAACAUAAAGAAAGAGUGAACUUUACAAGAGAGCUAAGUACUAGAUUUCUGAAGAUAACUGACUAUCCAUGUUCUCCACAGGUCCUCAGUGAUUGUAGGUAGCCCUAUGUGACUGCUGACAUUUUCAGGAGUGCUAAUGAAUUUGAUUGAGAACUAGACAUACACCUAGAAACCUGAAUACUUUGCUGUGUGCUUCUUUGUGUGUUUAGGUAAUUAACACCUUUAAAAAAUCUGGUCCAAAUUCUAGUGUUCAAAACUUCAGAAAUAUUUAUCUGUUUGACAAAUGUCUAUUUUCCACAUAACUGUCUAUUUUAAAUUUAGGUACUAUAUAGUUUCACCCUGUCUUUGGCAGAUAGAAGAAAGAAAACGCGUACUGCUUAUUUAAACAUCAGGAGUAAAACUCAUAAACUCUAGACAGAAGGAUCUUCACUAGUGAAGCAGAACUAAAGACAGUACAACUUUGAAGGUGUUUUCCCCUUUCUAUUCCUAUUAAAGCCUCUGUUCAACAUUUGAAGAAAAAUACUUUUUUUUUCCCCUUUCUUUUUCCAUAUCUCGGCAUGUGACAUUAAAUGUGGGGGGAAAAUUCUCGUGGCAAACCUGUAAAUAAGCUAAACCUGGUGGGAUCUCUGAAGUAGGAAUGGAGCAGAAGAAGGUUAUCAGGCAGGAAGAUCAGAAGAUGCUUAGAGAAGAAAACUAGAAGGAUCAGCAGUUACACCUCCUGUCAGAUGAGCAAAAGAAAAGGAAGUUCUAUGCAACAGUUCUUAUAUUAAAGCCAAAGAAGGAUGAGCACUUCUUAGCUACAAUCCUGGUAGGAGAGACAAGCUGAGAAUGAAAGUGAAUGUGAACUAACGGUUUGUUUUUUUAGGGAUGAGAACAUACAGAGGACUUUCACUCUUGUCAACAAUCCUAGGACAUAAUGUCCCUAGGGCUGUUUUUGCCAAAGCACAACUGUUGAAAAGGAAGUUCCUUCCAAGAGUAGAUGGUUUGCAACUAAAUAAAUACAUUGUACAUAAAGAUUUGCCAAGUAAUUUCUAAUGUCUCUGUACUAUGGAAUUGCUUUCUCACCAGCGACAAGUAUUCUACCACUUUGUGUGCUACUCACUACAUACAUAAUUUAUCUUAAUGAUUGUUUUUGUUAUUAGAAUUCAAACAAAUUUUAUUUAAUGAGGAAGGCCCUUUCUCAGAAUUAUUUGUAAUGCAAUUGGAAAGCGAGCCAUUAGGGUGCUUUUCCAUAAUUUAUUGCUCUCGGCAUGCAAAUCCACCUCCUAAGAAUAACAUGUUUAGGAGAGAAAGUAUCUAUCUCAUCUUGAACACUAAAUAGAGAGCUGUAUCACACACAUACCCACCUGUUGGAAACGACUGUAGCAGUCCCAUUAUCUGAUUGCCGAUGCAACCAUGGCACAUUUUGAGAAUCUAACUGAUGUUUACUCCAGGAAUUAUUUCUUCUGAAGAAAUCUUUAGAAAAGCUACUUUAGCUGGCUUUAGGUAGCAGUUGGUUUAGUUAGCAGUUUUGGCAAAUCCACAUAAUUUAAAGUUCUAUUUUUUUCUAAAUGGAAUUAGCAAGUUCCGAGAUAAUUUUUAAAUAGGAUUGCCCACAACUUUAAAAGAUGGGAAAAACAUUCUGUAUGAAAAGUGUUAAAAGUGUUGUACACACGGAUACUAAAAGAUAAAUUAGUGAGUUGCCACAGAAUCACUAAGCUUUGAAAGAUAGCUUCGUAAGAAUAACUACUGAAAAAGUAAAUUAAAGGUUUCCAGAAAAGUGUGGUCUGCUCAUUAGAAAACAGGACAAGGAUCAUGAAAUGAAUCCUGGGAGGAAAAAAGUAAUUUAUACUUUGUACCUCCAGUAUUUGUUGUUCAGUAUCAGACCUAUUGACAUAAGUUUUGGAGGACUACCCAGAACUACUAAAGCCAUGUAGACGCCAGCCAUCCUUGAAAAAUGAGUGCUUUUAAUAGGUCUGCAAGAUUAUUACAUGAGUAAAGAUUUUUGGCUUGUCAUUCUGUGUUUCAAUUUCUCAUCCUAUAACAUAUGAAUAAUCAUUCUUUUUACUGUAGCUACUUGAUUUGAGGAAAAGUCUUUAAAACCAAAGACUUUUUAUAUACCCUAAAUAUUACUAUGUGGAUACAUUAAAUAAAGUUAUUCUACCAUGGUGGCAUUUACCAGUACAGAAUUAUAAAAUAUAUUUUGGUGGAGAACACCUAAGGGCCAAAGUUAACAGAGACUCAACACAUUUCUGGUUCAGUUCAAAAGGUGCUUAAAUCCAGCAAGUCAAGAACAGGAAAAACACUUCUCUAAUCUAAAAUAUUUAAUCAAACUACAGACAUUUUCCUAAAGGCUAAAAGUACUGAAUUAUUUACCAGAUGUGCCACUCUGAAGCAGCUUUAACUGAAAUACUUUCUUCUAGACAUCUCCAAGGAAUUUAGAAUUCAUAUUUUCCCAGAAUAACUGCUUCAAUCCCCAGUGGGGCGCAUAGCCAACCAGCGUUACAAGCAGAGAUGUUGCAUCCCUUCUUGGUGAUACCUCACCCCUAGAGCUGGUCACUUCCCGUGCCCCCCCUUCUGGUUAAAGGUGGCAGCAGCAACAGUUGGUUGUUAACUGACAGCUAACCUGGUUCCCAAGGAGCAAUUUCUCAGCUCAGGGCCUCAGACAGAUGCUUGUCCCCUUUACCACGGUCAGAGUGAUAGAGAGAACAGCCUGUGAAGUGCUGGUACCACGAUCUCUCACUGACUCCAGUUGAACAGAUGAUUAGUGCACUUAAUCAAAUCAAAAGGAGCUGAAGGUUUUAGCCCUUUUUAAGAGGCUUUCAGCCCAGUAGCUAACAGGAUCAGUCUCUAAAUGCUUGAGUAAUAAUUUAUUUUCUUUUAUUCCCUUUGAUGUCUGAGAACAAUGUUCUUUGCUAUGCUGACAAACACACCAGCAAAAUUGAAACAGAAGAAAAGCAGCAAAAAGUGCUGGAAGUUUAACUGUUCUUUCCUAUGGGUGCAGUCAGUUUUGGUCAGACACAUUUAUCUGGUCACCUUGACUCCUCUCUGACUCCUUAAAAAUUUUCUCUUGUGACUAUAAACAAUGUAAAAAGUUGGAGGAAUAGUUUUAUAAAGGUCUUGGAAACAGAGACCUUUCAGACCUUUUCAACUUUAAAAACUCAUUGGAGCAAUCUUUUGAGUUACUCAAGUUCACUAACCAUAGAGCUAAACAAGAUCACAAGGAUCACCCCUGAAAAAAGGUCUGGAAUUAUUGUUACUGUCUGAAAAAGACUGCAAUAUCUUGGACAAAUUCUUCAACAAGCAGACCAGAUGGGAUUGCAUCCAGAAUCUGACAUUUCAGUCAGCAACAGCAGAAAAUGGUUCCAGGCUCAUACCUGUCUGCUCAGCAAAGCUUAAAUUUUGAACUGAGGGAAAAAAUUCUGAAAAUCAUAACCCUAAGAAUGAUGCCUUGGUGGCCUUCAGAACAGGAUAUAUUGAGUCAGGAGAAGAAAAAAAGAGGUCCUUUCAUUAUCGUGCAAAGAAUGGAGAGAGAAAAGGAGGCAAAGAAACUAGGAGAGAAGAUAUAUUCCUGGCAGGAAAGUUUUUCUGAAAUGUCAGCCUGUAAAAUGUCUCAAUAAAAAUGAUUCAUCACUUCAUGAGCACUGUAAGCAUUUGUCCUUAUGAAUCUUUCUCUGUUGUAAUAUCUUGCUGCCUUAAACAGUUCUAAUGUUAUCAUUAUGGAAGAGGGGCUGAAAACUUAAAAAAUAAUAAGAACUAACCUACAAGGGCAUUUUCACCCAAAGAAGGUAAAAGAAAUGCAGGAAGAAGUCCUGUAAUAUUGAACAGAUAUAUGAGAAAUAAAUAACCUGGGUUUAUUAUAAGCAAAUGAAUUUAGUGGAAAAACAGAAGGGAGUGGGGUUUCAUUCGCGAAGCCUAGCCAGGAUGAGUUCCAAGGGGUUUUUUUAGGCAUAUCGUGAAAGCUGUAAGGUGGAGAGUCCUGUCUGAGCCUGACACCAGGGAACCUUUGCAGCCCGGAAUAGGGAAAAGUAUAAAAAUAAAAAUGUAUCCUUUGCCACGUGGCCGUCCAUUGUGUAUGGAGAGACCCUCCUGUAGAGUACAGAGCGAUACGUCACAAAUCAAUCAAGAGGGAAGGUAAUACCCCCUCCUGAGUCCAAGAAAUUACCUUUUAAGGUAAAAAACCGGUGGUCACUGAAUAUUUAACAGCUUAUAUAACCGAAAGAAUACAAAAAGCGCGAUUUUCAAACGGUUGGUGUGCCUUUAGGUCCAUGUGACUUGGAGCGCACCCAGUGCACUGCAAUAAAGAACUUCUUGCUAC